rnacentral:rRNA from 1 species
AUUGAACGCUGGCGGCAGGCCUAACACAUGCAAGUCGAACGAGUGGCGGACGGGUGAGUAAUGUCUGGGAAACUGCCUGAUGGAGGGGGAUAACUACUGGAAACGGUAGCUAAUACCGCAUACCAUCAGAUGUGCCCAUAUGGGAUUAGCUGGUAGGUGGGGUAAUGGCUCACCUAGGCGACGAUCCCUAGCUGGUCUGAGAGGAUGACCAGCCAAACGGGAACUGGGACACGGUCCAGACUCCUACGGGAGGCAGCAGUGGGGAAUAUUGCACCAUGGUCGCAAGCCUGAUGCAGCCAUGCCGCGUGUAUGAAGAAGGCCUUCGGGUUGUAAAGCACUUUCAGCGGGUAGGCGUUACCCGCAGAAGAAGCACCGGCUAACUCCGUGCCAGCAGCCGCGGUAAUAC